CUGACACAGGGAGGUAGUGACAAAAAAUAACUUAGUCGGGCCGUUUUCGGUCUGACUUUAGGAAUGAGAACAAUUUAAAUCCCUUAUCGAGGAUCAAUUGGAGGGCAAGUCUGGUGCCAGCAGCCGCGGUAAUUCCAGCUCCAAUAGCGUAUAUUAAUGUUGUUGCAGUUAAAAAGCUCGUAGUUGGAUUUCUGGUCGGAACGCCGGUCCGGCUCCGCAAGGGGUCGUGUAUUGGUUUCUCCUGCCAUCCUCAGGGGGAGCUGCACUGGUAUUCAUUUAUCGGUGUGGUUACGCCUGUCGUUUACUGUGAACAAAUUAGAGUGUUCAAAGCAAGGUGUACUUGAAUACAUUAGCAUGGAAUAAUAAGAUAGGACUUUGGUGGUUCUUUUUGAUAUUUUGUUGGUUUGCACGCCAAAGUAAUGAUUAAUAGGAGCAGUUGGGGGUAUUCGUAUUCAAUUGUCAGAGGUGAAAUUCUUGGAUUUAUAGAAGACGAACUACUGCGAAAGCAUUUACCAAGGAUG
rnacentral:rRNA from 1 species